CAGCCGCCGCGGUAAUACGAAGGGUGCAAGCGUUACUCGGAAUUACUGGGCGUAAAGCGUGCGUAGGUGGUGGUUUAAGUCCGUUGUGAAAGCCCUGGGCUCAACCUGGGAAUUGCAGUGGAUACUGGGUCACUAGAGUGUGGUAGAGGAUAGUGGAAUUUCCGGUGUAGCAGUGAAAUGCGUAGAGAUCGGAAGGAACAUCUGUGGCGAAGGCGACUAUCUGGCCCAACACUGACACUGAGGCACGAAAGCGUGGGGAGCAAACAGGAUUAGAUACCCGAGUAGUCCCUGUCUCUUAUAC
rnacentral:rRNA from 1 species